UAAAAAAAGGUAAGCUACUAAGAGCGAAUGGUGGAUGCCUUGACUGGUAAAGGCGAUGAAGGACGUACUAGACUGCGAUAAGCUACGGGGAGCUGUCAAGAAGCUUUGAUCCGUAGAUUUCCGAAUGGGGCAACCCAAUGUAUAGAGAUAUACAUUACCUAUAUAGGAGCGAACGAGGGGAAUUGAAACAUCUUAGUACCCUCAGGAAAAGAAAUCAAUAGAGAUUGCGUCAGUAGCGGCGAGCGAAAGCGCAAGAGGGCAAACCCAGUGCUUGCACUGGGGGUUGUAGGACUGCAAUGUGCAAGAGGUAAGUUUAGCAGAACAUUCUGGAAAGUAUAACCAUAGAGGGUGAUAGUCCCGUAUGCGAAAAACAAACCUUAGCUAGCAGUAUCCUGAGUAGGGCGGGACACGAGGAAUCCUGUCUGAAUCCGGGUCGACCACGAUCCAACCCUAAAUACUAAUACCAGAUCGAUAGUGCACAAGUACCGUGAGGGAAAGGUGAAAAGAACUGAGGUGAUCAGAGUGAAAUAGAACCUGAAACCAUUUGCUUACAAUCAUUCAGAGCCCUAUGUAGCAAUACAGGGUGAUGGACUGCCUUUUGCAUAAUGAGCCUGCGAGUUGUGGUGUCUGGCAAGGUUAAGCAAACGCGAAGCCGUAGCGAAAGCGAGUCUGAAUAGGGCGCUUAGUCAGAUGCUGCAGACCCGAAACGAAGUGAUCUAUCCAUGAGCAAGUUGAAGCUAGUGUAAGAACUAGUGGAGGACUGAACCCAUAGGCGUUGAAAAGCCCCGGGAUGACUUGUGGAUAGGGGUGAAAGGCCAAUCAAACUUCGUGAUAGCUGGUUCUCUCCGAAAUAUAUUUAGGUAUAGCGUUGUGUCGUAAUAUAAGGGGGUAGAGCACUGAAUGGGCUAGGGCAUACACCAAUGUACCAAACCCUAUCAAACUCCGAAUACCUUAUAUGUAAUCACAGCAGUCAGGCGGCGAGUGAUAAAAUCCGUCGUCAAGAGGGAAACAACCCAGACUACCAGCUAAGGUCCCUAAAUCUUACUUAAGUGGAAAACGAUGUGAAGUUACUUAAACAACCAGGAGGUUGGCUUAGAAGCAGCCAUCCUUUAAAGAAAGCGUAAUAGCUCACUGGUCUAGUGAUUUUGCGCGGAAAAUAUAACGGGGCUAAAGUAAGUACCGAAGCUGUAGACUUGCACACAACUUAGAUUAUUUAAGUUUAGAAUAUGAGAAACUAAGUUAUAUGUUUAGUUAUAUUUUUACUGAUUUUUAUAGAGUAAAGAUAGAAAUAAAACUUAGUAAAAUCAGUAAAAAUAUUCUUAGACUAAAGUUAAGUAGUUUAAGUUGUGUGCAAGUGGUAGGAGAGCGUUCUAUUUGCGUCGAAGGUAUACCGGUAAGGAGUGCUGGAGCGAAUAGAAGUGAGCAUGCAGGCAUGAGUAGCGAUAAUUAAUGUGAGAAUCAUUAACGCCGUAAACCCAAGGUUUCCUACGCGAUGCUCGUCAUCGUAGGGUUAGUCGGGUCCUAAGUCGAGUCCGAAAGGGGUAGACGAUGGCAAAUUGGUUAAUAUUCCAAUACCAACAUUAGUGUGCGAUGGAAGGACGCUUAGGGCUAAGGGGGCUAGCGGAUGGAAGUGCUAGUCUAAGGUCGUAGGAGGUUAUACAGGCAAAUCCGUAUAACAAUACUCCGAGAACUGAAAGGCUUUUUGAAGUCUUCGGAUGGAUAGAAGAACCCCUGAUGCCGUCGAGCCAAGAAAAGUUUCUAAGUUUAGCUAAUGUUGCCCGUACCGUAAACCGACACAGGUGGGUGGGAUGAGUAUUCUAAGGCGCGUGGAAGAACUCUCUUUAAGGAACUCUGCAAAAUAGCACCGUAUCUUCGGUAUAAGGUGUGGUUCGCUUUGUAUUAGGAUUUACUCCGAAAGCAAGGAAACUUACAACAAAGAGUCCCUCCCGACUGUUUACCAAAAACACAGCACUCUGCUAACUCGUAAGAGGAUGUAUAGGGUGUGACGCCUGCCCGGUGCUCGAAGGUUAAUUGAUGGGGUUAGCAUUAGCGAAGCUCUUGAUCGAAGCCCGAGUAAACGGCGGCCGUAACUAUAACGGUCCUAAGGUAGCGAAAUUCCUUGUCGGUUAAAUACCGACCUGCAUGAAUGGCGUAACGAGAUGGGAGCUGUCUCAAAGAGGGAUCCAGUGAAAUUGUAGUGGAGGUGAAAAUUCCUCCUACCCGCGGCAAGACGGAAAGACCCCGUGGACCUUUACUACAGCUUGACACUGCUACUUGGAUAAGAAUGUGCAGGAUAGGUGGGAGGCUUUGAGUAUAUGACGCCAGUUGUAUAUGAGCCAUUGUUGAGAUACCACUCUUUCUUAUUUGGGUAGCUAACCAGCUUGAGUUAUCCUCAAGUGGGACAAUGUCUGGUGGGUAGUUUGACUGGGGCGGUCGCCUCCCAAAUAAUAACGGAGGCUUACAAAGGUUGGCUCAGAACGGUUGGAAAUCGUUCGUAGAGUAUAAAGGUAUAAGCCAGCUUAACUGCAAGACAUACAAGUCAAGCAGAGACGAAAGUCGGUCUUAGUGAUCCGGUGGUUCUGUGUGGAAGGGCCAUCGCUCAAAGGAUAAAAGGUACCCCGGGGAUAACAGGCUGAUCUCCCCCAAGAGCUCACAUCGACGGGGAGGUUUGGCACCUCGAUGUCGGCUCAUCGCAUCCUGGGGCUGGAGCAGGUCCCAAGGGUAUGGCUGUUCGCCAUUUAAAGCGGUACGCGAGCUGGGUUCAGAACGUCGUGAGACAGUUCGGUCCCUAUCUGCCGUGGGCGUAAGAAGAUUGAAGAGAUUUGACCCUAGUACGAGAGGACCGGGUUGAACAAACCACUGGUGUAGCUGUUGUUCUGCCAAGAGCAUCGCAGCGUAGCUAAGUUUGGAAAGGAUAAACGCUGAAAGCAUCUAAGCGUGAAGCCAACUCUAAGAUGAAUCUUCUCUAAGCUCUCUAGAAGACUACUAGUUUGAUAGGCUGGGUGUGUAAUGGAUGAAAGUCCUUUAGCUGACCAGUACUAAUAGAGCGUUUGGCUUAUCUUUAAUAAAGCAU
rnacentral:rRNA from 1 species